rnacentral:misc_RNA from 1 species
GAAAUGCGAUAAGUAAUGUGAAUUGCAGAAUUCAGUGAAUCAUCGAAUCUUUGAACGCACCUUGCGCUCCUUGGUAUUCCUUGGAGCAUGCCUGUUUGAGUAUCAUGAAAUCUUCAAAGUAAAUCUUUUGUUAACUCAAUUGGUUUCUACUUAGGUAUUGGAGGUCUUUGCAGCUUCACACCUGCUCCUCUUUGUUCAUUAGCUGGAUCUCAGUGUUAUGCUUGGUUCCACUCGGCGUGAUAAGUUAUCUAUCGCUGAGGACACUGUAAAAGGUGGCCAAGGUAAAUGCAGAUGAACCGCUUCUAAUAGUCCAUUGACUUGGACAAUACUUUUAUGAUCUGAUCUCAAAUCAGGUAGGACUACCCGCUGAACUUAAGC